rnacentral:misc_RNA from 1 species
UCCGGUUUAACACCGGCGGUCUCCUUAGAGUGCCCAACUGAAUGGUGGCAACUAGGGAUAGGGGUUGCGCUCGUUAAGGGACUUAACCCGACAUCUCACGAUACGAGCUGACGACAGCCAUGCAGCACCUGAACCGCAGGUCCCCGAAGGGAAAACCGUAUCUCUACGGCUGUCCUGCGUUGUCUAACCCAGGUAAGGUUUUUCGCGUUGCAUCGAAUUAAACCACAUGCUCCACCGCUUGUGCGGGCCCCCGUCAAUUCCUUUGAGUUUUAACCUUGCGGCCGUACUUCCCAGGCGGGGUACUUAAUGCGUUAGCGUCGGCACUGUAGGGGUCAAUUCCCACAACACCUAGUACCCAUCGUUUACAGCGUGGACUAC